UGGGGAAUAUUGCACAAUGGGCGAAAGCCUGAUGCAGCGACGCCGCGUGAGGGAUGACGGCCUUCGGGUUGUAAACCUCUUUCAGCAGGGAAGAAGCGAAAGUGACGGUACCUGCAGAAGAAGCGCCGGCUAACUACGUGCCAGCAGCCGCGGUAAUACGUAGGGCGCAAGCGUUGUCCGGAAUUAUUGGGCGUAAAGAGCUCGUAGGCGGUUAGUCGCGUCUGCUGUGAAAACUCGAGGCUCAACCUCGGGCUUGCAGUGGGUACGGGCUGACUAGAGUGCGGUAGGGGUGACUGGAAUUCCUGGUGUAGCGGUGGAAUGCGCAGAUAUCAGGAGGAACACCGAUGGCGAAGGCAGGUCACUGGGCCGCAACUGACGCUGAGGAGCGAAAGCAUGGGGAGCGAACAGGAUUAGAUAGCCCUGGUAGUCCAUGCCGUAAACGUUGGGCACUAGGUGUGGGGUCCAUUCCGCGGAUUCCGUGCCGCAGCAAA
rnacentral:rRNA from 1 species